AAUAUGAAGGUCAGGCUGAAGACCUUACCCGAUUAGCUGAGAGGUGGUGCAUGGCCGUCGUCAGUUCGUACUGUGAAGCAUCCCUGUUAAGUCAGGCAACGAGCGAGACCCACGUCCACAGUUGCCAGCAUACCCUCCGGGGUGAUGGGUACACUGUGGAGACCGCCGCUGCUAAAGCGGGAGGAAGGAGUGGGCAACGGUAGGUCAGUAUGCCCCGAAUCUCCCGGGCUACACGCGGGCUACAAUGGUUGGUACAAUGGGCAUCUACCCCGAAAGGGGAAGGAAAUCUCUUAAAGCCAGUCGUAGUUCGGAUUGAGGGCUGCAACUCGCCCUCAUGAAGCUGGAAUCCGUAGUAAUCGCGUUUCAACAGAACGCGGUGAAUACGUCCCCGCUCCUU
rnacentral:rRNA from 1 species